GGGUCAGUAGGUUGGUCGUGCCACCGGUACGUACUGGUCUCACUGAUUCCUCCUUCCUGAAGAACCGUAAUGCCAUUAAUUUGGUGUUGCGGGGAAACAGGACUGUUACUUUGAAAAAAUUAGAGUGUUUAAAGCAAGCUAACGCUUGAAUACAUUAGCAUGGAAUAAUGGAAUAGGACGAACGAUCCUAUUUUGUUGGUUUCUAGGAUUGACGUA
rnacentral:rRNA from 1 species